CCAAGACCUUGUUUUCAGACCUUUGUGGAACGUGUCCCACUAAACUCUACAGGCAUUUCAGACCUCAAAGUCAUCCUCAACCAGGGACAGAAUGUUAAGCAAACCGUGGGGUGUGUGUUCGAGAAGGUCUUCACACCGUCCUUGGCAACCCAACUGAACCAGAGCGGGAGGGGGCAGAAGACUGUCAUCUGGUCAGUGCCACUGAAGGAUGCUAUUAUGUGUUCUGUUCUUAAAAACCCACAUUUUCCACGAAUAACGGAGGCCGAGGUUGAAAGGGCAGUUGAAAACUGUCUCAGGCUGAGUCAAGAUUGACUCGGGGACGGCAGCUGGAGGGAGAGAUCUGCGGAAGAAGAGG